rnacentral:rRNA from 1 species
CCUACGGGUGGCUGCAGUGGGGGAUAUUGCACAAUGGGGGAAACCCUGAUGCAGCGACGCCGCGUGUGGGAAGACGGUCCUCUGGAUUGUAAACCACUGUCCCCAGGGACGAAGAUGACGGUACCUGGGGAGGAAGCUCCGGCUAACUACGUGCCAGCAGCCGCGGUCAUACGUAGGGAGCGAGCGUUGUCCGGAAUUACUGGGUGUAAAGGGAGCGUAGGCGGGACUGCAAGUUGGGUGUCAAAUCUACCGGCUCAACUGGUAGCCGCACUCAAAACUGCAGUUCUUGAGUGAAGUAGAGGCAGGCGGAAUGCCUAGUGUAGCGGUGAAAUGCGUAGAUAUCAGGAGGAACACCGGUGGCGAAGGCGGCCUGCUGGACUGCAACUGACGUUGAGGCCCGAAAGCGUUGGGAGCAAACAGGAUUAGAUACCCCAGUAGUC